CUUACUUACUAAUUUUCAUUUUGUGUUUCACAUGUGAAAUUUGUCCGGGUCCCAUGGACCUUAUCUCCACAUUUUCCUAUUUGGGCCACGAAGGCUCAAACCUCUGUCCCUCGAGUCUUCCACCUACAAAAUCGACGUAUAUGUCAAAAUUUGGAAAUUCCAAGUGGGAAGAGUUGAAGAAGUUGAAGAUUUUUGGCCAAGAAAGCCCAAUUUUAAUUUCAAAAUGUUGUAUUUUGUUAUUUUUGGACCUAAGACCUCUUUGUAUUAUUAUUAUCUUGUAAACUUAGGACAGGUACAAAAGGGAAAUGAUUCAAAAACACCAAACAAAAAAG
rnacentral:misc_RNA from 1 species